rnacentral:lncRNA from 1 species
GUUUCUCUGGAAUGUAGAAUAUGUGUAUACCUUAUUGUAGAUGAAGAAUAACUUUUCCUUUUUAAAAGUUCCCCUAGAUAGCCCUGGAAAAACUGACUUCUGGGGUUACGAGGAAGGUGGAACUGGCUCCUGAAUGAGAGCCUCUGGAGAUUCAGCGAUCGACUUAUUCCUGAGAUUCCUUUGUGGCCACUUUUACUGAGAUCAUCCUUCUGUUUGGGGGCUUGAAGAGAGUGAUGCAUUUUAGGUGUUGAAUAGAUGCUGAGCUCCUUAGCCUAAUCAGUUUGAAGUUCUCAUUUGAAUCUUUUUUUUUUUUUAAUGGACAAAGACCCCUAACUUGUGG